UAGCUUUGCACAAGAUAGUGAACGACACUUUGCCCAAUCUGGUCCGCGCGCUACGCACCCAAUCUCGCUCGCACACCAGCCGCCGCACAACCCUAGCUCCCACAUUCCCCUCGAUCCACUGCCCCUCCCUCCUCCCCGCUCGUCACCAGGGCCUCGCCGCCGCCUACUCCUCCUCCCCCACCGUUGCUGCUUCCCCACCUCGACUUCCCUCUCUCCGUUGUUUAUCCGGUCGUCGGCGGCGCCUGGUUCCAGAUCUGGCGCAAGUUAGGCCCGGUGGUGGGGCGAAGGGGCAGUGGAGGCGGGCGACCAGGACAAGCAGCUGUCGGCCCGUCGCGGGUGAGGCUCCAAGAGGAGCCAUGAUGGCUUGAUGUAGGAGGAGCCAUGAUGUGUGUGAGGUAGAGGUGGAUCAUUGGAGGUGAAGCAGGUCUCCUUGAUUUGUGCUUCAUCUGCGUUUCACGGGGUACUUAAGCAAUGGUUGCACCCCGCCACAUCACAUACCAGGUGAGAUUAACGGGGACAAUGAUAGUUGAGUUCCGACGAGAGUUAAACAAAUAGUUCACUAACAUUGAUAAUGAUUGGGUAACUCCAUUCUGUAAGUUGCUCUGCCGUUGAAAGCUAUGAUGUGGAAAUUAUAGCUUGGUUCAUAUAGUUGCUCUCAUUAUGCUUUUCUUCAUUUGAAAUCUUUGACAGAUGCUCAGAUUAUAAGAAAGAGAAUUUUAUAAGUCAGGCAUCGAUUGCUCACCUUUGAAGGUUACAGAUUCAAGUGCUAGGCUUUAAGGAUGAAGCAAAUCCCAAUCUAGAAACAUGUGUCGUGCACCAUAUAUUUGUCACCAGAAACGAAUGUGCAGGCGACAGCCAUUUGAUUAGUGUUAUAUCCAACUAAGGUAUCCUUCCACCAAAUGACCACAUCUGAAUUUGUUUAACUACAAUCUGAUGCAAUGGAGUUCUGUAUUGUUCUCAUAGUCCAUCCAUUAUAUUUUUGGCUUUCAAGGCUAGCUGACUGCAGUUUGAUUAUCGAUUCAUCUAUGGCAGCACAGACAGGCGUAUUAUCUUGGAGGCAAUGGCGGGGGGCUGGCACGAGAGGAAGGAUGGGAAUCAGCUACUUGCAUUCGCAUGGAGGAGGCAAUGUCGACGCGAUGGCACAGCAGAGGAGGCUGGGCUCGUUGUGGAGCUUCUUGAGGCAGCAGGACGUCGGCGAGAGCAUCGCUGCCGGCAACGGCUCGAGUGACCUCUUGAGGAUCUUCUCCAUGAGCACCUGUGACGACACCAACUCCAACAUCAUCUUCUCAGCGCCCGGCAGCAAGAAGGCCGAGGUGCUCGGCGACAGCGAUGUCGGCAUGGUCACCAGCUUCAGCAACAUCGACUCCCAGAUUCGGUUAGCCCUCUCGAGCUGGACAUGCCCAGCAUGGACGACUACCUGCAGCUGCAGCAGGACUCCGCCGACUGCAGAGUCCACGCCAAGCGUGGCUGCACCACUGACCCGCAGAGCAUCGCUUGGGAGGGAAAGAAGAACAAGGAUCAAUAAGAGGCUAAGGAGGCUGCAAGACCUCAUUCCCUACAUGGACAAGGUCACAAGAACUGAAUAUACACGUAGGAGAAACUUGAGAGCCAAUAUUAGUGCUAAAGGAUUACUCUGAUUGCCGAUCUAUGCUGUCGCGGCAACACAGGCCAAUACACAUUCAGGAAAUAUGUGACCAACUUCCCCAAGGUCCCGCAUCGUCUACUCAGGAUAUUCUGUGCCCCAAGCCCUACAGAAUAAUGCCCAGUCUAAUUUCAGCAGUGGGCAUGACAGCCUCAAACUUCUCUCUUCAAUAUUGAAGAAGCGGCUUACUCGGAUCAAUGGGCAUGCACUUAGAAAAAUAGCUAAAGAGUACGAGAUAUUCCUAGAGUAAAUAAAGGGCAUGGUGUGCUCAUAAGUUGACAGAAGCAAAAUGUUAUUUAUUAUACUCUUUGUCUUAA